GACGAACGCUGGCGGCGUGCUUAACACAUGCAAGUCGAACGGAAAGGCCCUGCUUGCAGGGUACUCGAGUGGCGAACGGGUGAGUAACACGUGGGUGAUCUGCCCUGCACUUCGGGAUAAGCCUGGUCAACUGGGUCUAAUACCUGAUAGGAGCCAUUUUUAGCGUGAUGGUUGGAAAGUUUUUUCGGUGUAGGAUGAGCUCGCGGGCUAUCAGCUUGUUGGUGGGGUAAUGGCCUACCAAGGCGGCGACGGGUAGCCGGCCUGAGAGGGUGGACGGCCACAUUGGGACUGAGAGACGGCACAGACUGCUAAGGGAGGGAGAAGUGGGGAAGAUUGCACAAUGGGCGCCAGCCUGAUGAAGCGACGCCGCGUGGGGGAUGACGGCCUUCGGGUUGUAAACUCCUUUCGCUAGGGACGAAGCUUUUUGUGACGGUACCUAGAGAAGAAGCACCGGCUAACUACGUG
rnacentral:rRNA from 1 species